GAAAUAUUUUUUCAUCAUGCAUUAGCAUUAUGUCAUUCCUACAAGUGAUCCCCCAUCCAGGAUUGGAAGAAGUGCUAUAUGAAGACUUCGAAAUCAAAUAGAAUAUAUUUUUUUUUCCAUUCCUCAUGAGCCACUUAUUUCUCGGAAAUAAGAGAUCAAAGUGAUCUUCUUGCUUUUUCUCAAUAAGUCGACGGCGUUACACCAUUGAGAUACUGGGAAUAAACUGGAGCAAAUAUAGGAUACACCGGAUUAGUUACAAUGGUCUAAUAUAUGUUC
rnacentral:lncRNA from 1 species